rnacentral:lncRNA from 1 species
GUAAAAUGUUCCACAAACCUGUUAAUGACUCAGAAAGAGAAGAACUCAAGAAGGAGGGUGAUGGGAUGUCCUAGGAACCAAACCCAAGAGCAGCUCCAGAUGUCCUCUUCACCUCACUGCCUCGGAACAUUGAGACUCAUGGAGGACAGAUCAUGUCACAUUUGUGCACACAGCCUCCCAGGCUGGAGAAUCAUAGCCAGGGUUCACUCCUCGGCAGGACGGCCAAGCCCCACACCAAGUAGAGAAUAAAACCCCUUGGGCUCUUUCAAAGACAACGGAAUUUGUGUUGUUUAACAUCCUCAGAAGUCACAGGAACAUCUGGGAAUGUCACUUUAUAAAUAACAAAUUCCAUAUCUAAAUGGAAGGAAGAUGAAGCCUGAAAUGAAAAUCAGGAUGAGCUAAUUGUAUUGUUUGUGAUGAUCAAUGGUGUUCAUUAUUUUGCUGAUCUGGUGGCCCCAAGAUGGUCCCUGGCACACGUGACUCCAUUAGCUCCCCCAGGCAAGGCAUGGCUGGUGAUGAUUUUGCCGGACAGCUUUGUCCCAUCCCCUAGCUGGGACCAUCCACCAAGGAAGAGGUGAUGCUAUGGGCUGUCAGGGGCUGUUAAGGGCCUCAGAAGUCAGGGGGUCUGAGUGGCGGGGUCCAAGGUGGGGCUGAAGGCAGAGGCUUCUCCUGACCAGUACACUCCUAGCUCUGUCCAGGGCCAGCCACGGCUCCGUGUGCUUCCAAGCAUCUCCAGUACAAGAGACGCCACAAACACAGAAGUGUUAAAAAAUCAGGAAUCUAGGGGCCAGGGAUUUAGCUCAGUGGUUUCAACGCCUGCUACGAAAGCGCGAGGACCCGAGUUUGAUCCCUGGUACCAAAAAAAAAAAAAAAAUCAGGAAUCUAAGUCCAGUUCCAUAAUAAUUUGCUUUGUAAAUGUGAGCAGAAAGCAAGUAACCUCUUUAUGUCAAGUUUCCUUUUUGGUCAAUUUGGGAGGUUGAGUGAGGGCAGCGGCACUGUCUCCUUCUCCGGAAGGUUCCUCCCACCUGCCCUUGGGAUGCUUGUGUCUGAUGGGCAUAAGGACAGCUAAGCCUUUCCCUUUGGGGCUUAGGAAUGAGUAUAGGUGUAUAUACUAAAGAAUACCUUAGAGCCUCGCCUAGGGUAUAAACUGAAGAUACCAAAAAUACAGUUUCUUGCUUGAGUUCCCUAGUGUUUCAUUGUCAGACAAAACAAAAGGAGUUCUUUCAUGUCUCUUCUGAUUUUCUGUUGGCCCUGUCAUUGGGUAUUUCUGUGUUUUAAAAUUUUUUUGUCUUAAAAUGGAAAAAACAACUCAAUAGGACAAUUUGAAGAGUGUGAGAGAGAACACAAUUGUGGAGGAAGAAAUACGUCAGUAAGCACCCAACAUACCAGUAAAAACGGGGGUGACCCUUUUAAUAAGAAAUGACUCCUGCUGUUUUUAAGAAUGCAAAAGCCUGAAAGGAAUAAAUAUGAGAAAAGAAAAAAACAGAAACAAAGUCUUUGUAAAUAGGGAGGGGUGGAAGAGUUGAAGGGAGGGCA